rnacentral:rRNA from 1 species
UACGGAGGGGACUAGCGUUGUUCGGAAUUACUGGGCGUAAAGCGCACGUAGGCGGAUUUGUAAGUCAGGGGUGAAAUCCCGAGGCUCAACCUCGGAACUGCCUUUGAUACUGCAAAUCUCGAGUCCGGAAGAGGUGAGUGGAAUUCCUGGUGUAGCGGUGAAAUGCGCAGAUAUCAGGAAGAACACCCGUGGCGAAGGCGGUUCUCUGGGACGGUACUGACGCUGAGACGCGAAAGCGUGGGGAGCGAACAGG